CCUACGGGCGGCUGCAGUGAGGAAUAUUGGUCAAUGGGCGCGAGCCUGAACCAGCCAAGUCGCGUGAGGGAAGACGGUCCUAUGGAUUGUAAACCUCUUUUGUCGGGGAGCAAACGACGCCACGCGUGUCCUUCCGAGCGUACCCUACGAAUAAGCAUCGGCUAACUCCGUGCCAGCAGCCGCGGUAAUACGGAGGAUGCGAGCGUUAUCCGGAUUUAUUGGGUUUAAAGGGUGCGUAGGCGGAAUAUUAAUUCAGCGGUAAAAAGUCGGGGCUAAACCCCGUCGUGCCGUUGAAACUGAUGUUCUAGAGAGGGAGAGAAGUAGGCGGAAUGCGUGGUGUAGCGGUGAAAUGCAUAGAUAUCACGCAGAACACCGAUGGCGAAGGCAGCAUACCGGC
rnacentral:rRNA from 1 species